rnacentral:rRNA from 1 species
GACGAACGCUGGCGGCGUGCUUAACACAUGCAAGUCGAACGGAAAGGCCCUGCUUUUGUGGGGUGCUCGAGUGGCGAACGGGUGAGUAACACGUGAGUAACCUGCCCUUGACUUUGGGAUAACUUCAGGAAACUGGGGCUAAUACCGGAUAGGAGCUCCUGCUGCAUGGUGGGGGUUGGAAAGUUUCGGCGGUUGGGGAUGGACUCGCGGCUUAUCAGCUUGUUGGUGGGGUAGUGGCUUACCAAGGCUUUGUCGGGUAGCCGGCCUGAGAGGGUGACCGGCCACAUUGGGACUGAGAUACGGCCCAGACUCCUACGGGAGGCAGCAGUGGGGAAUAUUGCACAAUGGGCGGAAGCCUAAUGCAGCAACGCCGCGUGCGGGAUGACGGCCUUCGGGUUGUAAACCGCUUUCGCCUGUGACGAAGCGUGAGUGACGGUAAUGGGUAAAGAAGCACCGGCUAACUACGUG